UACGUAGGGACCGAGCGUUGUCCGGAUUCAUUGGGCGUAAAGAGCUCGUAGGCGGCUGUUCAAGUCGAACGUGAAAACUCGGAGCUCAACUCCGAGCCUGCGUUCGAUACUGGACGGCUAGAGUCUGGUAGGGGGAUCUGGAAUUCCUGGUGUAGCGGUGAAAUGCGUAGAUAUCAAGAGGAACACCUGCGGCGAAGGCGGGUUGCUGGGCCGACACUGACGCUGAGGCGCGAAAGCUAGGGGAGCGAACGGG
rnacentral:rRNA from 1 species